AGACGGAAGAUUUAAUGCCAUUGGCGGAUGCCUUGGCAGUUUGAGCCGAUGAAGGACGUGUGAUUAAGCACGAAAACAACGGUGAGCCCUUAAUCAGGCGUUACCAGCCGUUGGUUUCCGAAUGGAGCAAUCCCGGUCGCGCAAGCGACUGAGCCUGUGUUGCGCUGGAAAUUUCAAGAAACCAAGUAACAAGAAACAAACAAUUUUCAAUAAAUCAAGCGCCAAUGUCUCAAACAUUGUGAUUUGGAAUUUGUUUGGAUACUUGUAUCUUGUACCUUGGAGCUUCUUGUGCAAUACAGGUGGGGAACCCGAUGAACUGAAACAUCUAAGUAAUCGGAGGAAAAGAAAUCAUAUGAUAUUCCGGUAGUAGCGGCGAGCGAAAACGGAAAAGCCUAAACCAAAAUUUAUUUUGGUGUUGCGGGUCCACAGUAGGGAGUAGAGCAGGAUAGGAAAAUGUUUUGGAAAAAACAACCACAGAAAGUGACAGUCUUGUAUCCAAAAUCUAGCUUUACCCUGGUGGGUUACCCAAGUACCACGAGGCACGGCAAACCUUGUGGGAAACCGGGUCGGUCACGAUCCAAGGCUAAAUACUCAAACUGACCGAUAGUGAACUAGUACCGUGAGGGAAAGGUGAAAAGUCCCCCUGGAGGGGAGUGAAAUAGAACCUGAAACCAAUGGCUAACAAACAGACAGAGUCGAGCUUAGCUCGAUGAUGUCGUGCCUAUUGAAGAAUGAGUCAGCGAGUGUCCGGAGAUUGCAUGUUUAACCACUUUUUGUGGGAAGGCGUAGCGAAAGCAAGUCUUAAAAGGCGAUUUUGCAAUUUCCGAACGACCCGAAACCAGGUGAGCUAACCAUGAGCAGGGUGAAGCCCCGCGAAAGCGGAGUGGAGGCCCGCACCCGUUGCCGGUGAAAAGGCAUGGGAUGACUUGUGGUUAGAGGUAAUAUGCCUAUCGAACCUGGAGAUAGCUGGUUCUCCCCGAAAUAUAUUUUGGUAUAGCCUCUUGUUUUAUUCAUGGGGUAGAGCUACUAGAUGAUUUCAGGAGCCUUUGGCGACUGGAACCAACUAAACUCCGAAUACAUGAUGUAAUGACAAGGGAGUCAGUCCUACCGGGAUAAGCCGGUAUGGGCAAAAGGGAAACAACCCAGAUUCCCAACUAAGGUUCCUAAAUGAUUUUUUAGUGGAAAAGGCCGUUUGUUUUCCAAUACAGCAGGUAGGUUGGCUUAGAAGCAGCCACCCUUUAAAGAGUGCGUAACAGCUCACCUGAAUAGCCCGCUUUGCGGGAGGAGAACAGGCGCCGAAAAUGAACGGAGCUUAAAUUAUCUACCGACGUUGGAAGUAAUUUAUUACGGUAGGGGAGCAUUCUGUUUUCGAUAAAGGUAAACUGUAAGGUUUGCUGAAGGAAACAGAAGAGAGAAUGCUGACAUGAGUAGUGUCUCUGAACGUGAAAUUCGUUCACGCCGAAAACCCGAGGUUUCCUCAGCAACGCUAAUCGGCUGAGGGUUAGUCGGAUCUAACCGGAUUUGGUUUACAAAUUCGGGAUGUACAAGCUGUUAAUAUUCAGCUACUGUGUAAUAUGCGUUAUUACUUGAUUGAUGACGAAGUGUGCCAAACCAGGCCUUCUAUAUGGGGGUUUAAGCAGCGAGUUCCGCCAACUGGCGGAGAUGAGCUGUUAAUGCGAUUGUGUCGCAAGAUAUGAGAGCUGGUGGGUGUACGUUUCCGGGAAAAGUCAGUCAAGGAGUGUGUUAUACAUCCGUACCGCAAACCGACACAGGUGGGUUGGUCGAGUAGACCAAGGCGUUUCGAGUAAUGGUGGUUUAAGGAACUCGGCAAAAAAUCUGAGCGUAAGCUAUGCAAGAAGCUCUGCCCUCUUUCGAGAGGGUUUCAACAAAAGACUAUCAACCGACUGUUUAGCAAAAACACAGGUUCCUGCAAACCCGAAAGGGCAUGUAUAGGAGCUGAAACCUGUCCAGUACUGGUAAGUUAAUUGCUGUGGCUGAUCACACUUGUUGUGUUAGGUCGCGGUACAAGCUCCAGUGAACGACAGCUCUAACCCUGAGAGUUCUAAGGUAGCGUAACCCCUUGCCGGGUAAGUUCCGGCCCGCAUGAAAGGUUUAACGAGUUGAUAACUGUCUUGAACCGCUGCUCGACGAAAUUGAAAUGGCUGUGAAGAUGCGGCCUACUUGCACCAGGACAAAAAGACCCCGGGAGCUUUACUGAAACUUGACAUUGAGGAUGAAUUUUCAAUUGUUUAGCAAUAGGAGGGAGACUUCGGUCGCAAAUGAAAGACCUCUCUUUGUCUAUUCAAAAUCUUAUUUUCGCAAGAGAAAACAGUGUUAGGCGGUCAGUUUGGCUGGGGCGGCCUCCUCCAAAAAAGUAACGGAGGAGCGCAAUGGUCGGCUUACUACGGAUGGAAAUCGUAGUGUAAGUGCAAACGCAUAAGCCGGCUUAACUGUGAGAAUGACUAUUCGAACAGAUGCGAAAGCAGGCGUUAGUGAUCCCCCAAUCCGCUGUGAUUGCGGAUGGGGCUUAACGGAUAAAAGCUACCCCGGGGACAACAGGCUAGUCGCGCCCGAGAGUUCAAAUCGACGGCGCGGUUCGGCACCUUAAUUUACAUCGGGGUGUGGUAGAAGUAAUUCUAUUAGUUUGUUGUACACAUAUAAUCAGCUCAUAACGGUGAACUCCUAAUUGCUAUACAAUGAUAGUAAUGGACAACACCGUGGGAAGUCUGACAGAAGAACAAAAGUCCAUUCUUAUUGGCUGUCUCUUAGGAGAUGGUACGAUGAGAAAAAAGACAAACGCUCAUAUAGAGAUCAAUCAUAGUUUUGCCCAAAAGGCAUUAGUUGAUUGGAAGUAUGAGAAAUUAAGAAAUUUGGUAAUUACGCCACCGAAAUGGAGAAAAGGAAACGGUACAAGAGAAGCAUAUAGAUUUGCUACUCGAAGUUUACCCUGCCUUACUCCAUUAUAUGAAUGGUUUUACAUCAAUAAACGAAAAGUAAUUCCAAAUAAUCUUAGUCUCAACCCUCUAAUAUUAGCUUUAUGGUUUAUGGAUGAUGGAUCUAAAAGUCGAUCGUCUAUUUAUCUAAAUACUCAGCAGUUCAGUAAAAACGAACAAGAGUUUCUUAUUAAGUUACUUAAACAGCAAUUUAAUAUAGAAUCAACCUUAAAUAAAGACAAAAUUUAUUUUAGGAUCAGAGUCAGAACAGAGAGUAUUAGAAGCUUCAUUAAUCUUAUUAAACCGUUUGUCUUAAGAGAAUUUACAUAUAAAUUCCCUUCUGUCUUGACCCCGUAACGACUUGUCGUAAAGCGCUAGGCGCAUGACAGAGUUCUCAAAUUUUUGAGAGCUAACACGCUGACUCCUACUCUUUUAAUUCUAUGGAGGAUUAAAAGACAAGAGGAAGAAGGUAUAGUCUAAACUUUCGAGACAAUCGAAAGAUCGAUAGCGAUGUCGGCUCAACGUAUCCUGGAGGUGUAGUAGCUUCCAAGGGUCGGGCUGUUCGCCCGUUAAAACGUUACGCGAGCUGGGUUCAGAACGUCGUGAGACAGUUCGGUCUCUAUCCGGUGCAAGCGCAUUGACUUUUGAGAGGGAUUCUCCCCAGUACGAGAGGACCGGGAGGAAGAGAUCCCUGGUGUACCAGUUGUACUAAAAGUGCAUCGCUGGGUAGCUAUAUCUCUUUGUGAUAAGCACUGAAUGCAUCUCAAGUGCGAAGCACACCUCAAGAUGAGAAGUCUUUAAGCUUACCAGUAGAUCACUGGUUUAAUAGACUCUAGAUGUAAGUACCGUAAGGUAUUCAGUCGAGGAGUACUAAGUAGCGUUUCUUCCGUCUCU
rfam:Candidatus Roizmanbacteria bacterium RIFCSPLOWO2_01_FTLL_40_42 rifcsplowo2_01_scaffold_35948, whole genome shotgun sequence.